AUAUAACAUUUGUUGCUGCUAGUGCUGCUUAUUCCCUUCUAUGAUUAGUUUGAAGGCUCCUCUGUAUCAGUCGAAGUUGACGGCAGAAAGGUAGCCGAGGUGAGCGGCUCGUGAACCACCGAGUUAGAGGAAACCGAUAUGGGACUACCCUCGAGCUGCAACAUUAUACUCCCCAAUAUCUCUGCCAUUGUUUUCUUAAACUCUUCUUCCUUCACCACAUUUCCAUCAU
rnacentral:lncRNA from 1 species